AGCAGCUGAGAAGAGAGCUGAGGGCCAAAGCCCUGCCCUGGGGUGCAGGGGGUCCUGUAGGACUGGUCCCCCAGGCAGAUGGGAAGCUCCUCUGCAAAGCCCAAGAAGAGGGCUUCCGGGCCAGGGAGGACUCGUUCCCCAAAGUUACACGGGGCGGGAUCCGCCUAGCUGUGCUGUGGGCGGCCAGGUGCCCUUGCCCCCCUUACUGCCACACCCGCUGGUGGCUUCUUACCGUGGGCGCCUGCAAUUCCACCAGGAGCCUCCUCCGCUCGGGACCACCUUGGUUGACCCUCCAGACAGGCCGGAAGCACCAGGAAUUCAACACCCGGAGAGAAGCCCGGGAGCCACAACGAUGCACUCUCACCCCUCAGAUGGGACAAAUCUGAGCCGGGGCCAACACCAAGGUUCUCAGCCAGGUGUGUCACUGGCCGUUUCCGGAGGCGCCAGGGUUGGAUGUCACCGUUGGCAGCCAGGGGGUAGAGGUUACGGUGCUGUAAACAUCAUGGGGUGCAGUGCUCUGAUCAGCCCCUCACAGCCAAGGCAGACUCAGCCCAAAAUGUCAUAGGGCCGAGGUUGGGAAACCCCAUCCUCCAGGUGUAACAGAGGGGCCAGCGGGAUGGAGCCCCGAUGCCUAUGGUGAUAACCUGCGGCCCACAUCCCAAGUCCCCUUCCUGUGUCCUGGGAUCGCCCCCCCACAGAACCCAGCUCGCUAGGACCCUCACCUCAGAAUCUGUUUCUGGGAGGACCUGACUGAUCACCCAUUCCUACAGUCAUGGGGAGAGCCUUAGCAACUUCCAUCCCAGCUGUUUCCUCCUGCUACACACGCUCAGUCCUAGGGACUCGCGCACACGGGUGGGGCCGCCAGAGGGGGCGCACCAGGCCAGCAUGGUGGACCAGCGAGGGGAGCUGUACUCCCCCUACAAAGUGAUAGAAGACGGGGACAAACCCACGCGACCCAUUGGACUCCAGCUGACUUCUUUUCAACAAUUGAUAAGCUGAUAACCAAAAAAAAAUUAAAAUUAAAAAAAGUAAAGUCACGCAUGGUGACACACACCUGUAAUCCCAGUAUCUGGGAAAGAGGCUGAAGCAGGAAGAUAGCCAUGAGUUCAAGGCCAGCCUGGACUGCAUAGUGAGACCCUGUGUCCAAAAACCAACACACACGCACGCACGCGCGGACAUGCGCACUCACAGAGGUAAGCUAAUUUCAGAAUUCCUACGGAUGUGCAAGAAACCAAGCACAAAAAAAAGAAAAAAAAGAAAAAGGAAAAGAAACCAACCGCAGCCAAAGCAAUCUUGAAAAAGAACCGAGCAGGACUCUCACCUCCUGAUUUCAGAACUUGCUACAAAGUAACCACAACCAAGAGGCUGCUGAAGUGGCACAGUGCAGACGGAUAGAGCAAGGGCUGACAAAAGUUAACUCAGAAUGAAUUAAAACCUACAUGUAAGGGCUAAAUCUCUCAGAAGAAAAUGUGGAGGUAAACUUCAUAGCUUUGGGUUUGGCAAAGGAUUCUCAAAUACGACCCCAAAAGCAUAAGCAAUGAAAGAAAAAAAAGUUCAUGCCUCUGGCUGGAUGUGGUGGUACACACUGAAAUCCCAGCACUCUGGGAGGCUGAGGCGGGAGGACAGCAAGUUCAAGCCUAGCCUGGGCCACUUACUGACUUAGCGAGACCCUGUGUCAAAAUAAAAAAUAAAAAGGGCUGGACAGGGUCUCACUAUGUAGCCCAGGCUGGUCUUGAACUCUCUGUGAUCCUCCUGCCUCAGCCUCCCCAGUGCUGAGACUACAGGUGUGCACCACCUGCCCCACCAGGCCACAGACGUACAAGGUGUGGGAUUAGGCUGCACAGUGGGGAGAGGUUCUCUCAGCAGACAACAGGUUCAGCAACCACAGAUUUCCCUGGCCAGAUGUUUUCCAAUUUGUUUUGUGUUUGUUUGUUUGUUUGUUUUGAGACAGGGUCUGGCUAUAUAGUUCAGGCUGACCUGGAAUUUAUAGCUAUCCUCCUGCCUCAGCCUCUUGAGUGCUGGGAUUACAGCCAUGCACCACCAUGUAUGGCUUAUUUUCCAGUUUGUUCCUGGCCUCUGUGAUUCUCUACUCUCAUAUACGUGCCUCCAUCAACUGAAGAGGAUUUCAAAAAUGUUUCUUCUAGCAUUUUAAAUAUUUUGUAGCUGAUAGGUUUAUAAAUCUUAGUCAUCACAUACAUAAUUAUAGAUACAUAUUAUAGAGAGAGGAAUUUUAAUCCCAGCUGGGCAUAAUGGCACACACCUGUCAUCCCACCUACUCAGGGAGCUGAGGCAGGAGGAUCACAAGUUCAAGCCCAGCCUCGCAACUUAGCAAGAUCUUGUCUCUUAAAAAUUAAAAAAAGGUUGGGGAUGAAGCUUAGCUCUCUGUGGAUUCAAUCCCAGUGCCACAAAAAUAAAUAUAAUAAAAUCUCUUUGUUCCUUGUCCAGUGUUCAUAGUUUCAGCAAAUAAUCAUUAAGCACCUACUGUGUGCCAUGAACCGUGCUAAGGAUCCAGGGAGAAACAAGGCACAGGUGUCCCUGUUGUUUACAGACACCAGGCAACCAAAG
rnacentral:lncRNA from 1 species